AUUUAGAGGAAGGAGAAGUCGUAACAAGGUUUCCGUAGGUGAACCUGCGGAAGGAUCAUUGUCGAAACCUGCCCUGCAGAACGACCCGCGAACACGUUUACAAUAUCAACGGGGGAGCGGGGGGGCUUUUGCUCCCCCCAUCCACCAAUGCUUAUGGGACGGAUGGCGGGCUUCACCCAAACCAUCCCCUCAGAGGCGGAAUAACCAACCCCGGCGCAGGUAGCGCCAAGGAAUAUAAACUAAAAGAGAGCACGCUGCCACAGUCCCUGGAAACGGUGAGACUUGGGCAUGCGUUGUACUCUUUCAAAAAUCAAAACGACUCUCGGCAACGGAUAUCUCGGCUCUCGCAUCGAUGAAGAACGCAGCAAAAUGCGAUACUUGGUGUGAAUUGCAGAAUCCCGUGAAUCAUCGAGUUUUUGAACGCAAGUUGCGCCCGAAGCCUUCCGGCCAAGGGCACGUCUGCCUGGGUGUCACGCAACCAUCACUCCCAACCCUCUUGAAACAUCAAGGGGCACGGGGGCGGAUACUGGCCUCCCGUGUGCCGUGAGGCAAGCGGUUGGCCCAAAAACAGAGUUCCCGGCGAUGGUCGCCACGAAAUUCGGUGGUUGUAAGACCCUCUGACACAGUCGUGAACGAUCGUAUGCCAUAAGGGACCCCCGAGACCCUGAUGCAGGCCUUGAAGGCGUGCUCCAAUCGCGACCCCAGGUCAGGCGGGAAUACCCGCUGAGUUUA
rnacentral:rRNA from 1 species